GACAGAUGUUAACACUGAAGCAGUUCAUCCGUUCACCUUCAGCCCUCCUCAGUCCUCAGGUGAUGAUGAAACACCACCACCAACAACAACUGCAACAUCACCAAUAACAACUGCAACAUCACCAAUAACAACUGAAUCACCAUCAACAACAGGAAAACAUUGGACAUCAGUGAAAAUGAGCACAUCGGAAGUUACUAACCAAACUGCAUCUGAUAACGACAAAAAUGGAACAAGACAAGGCUGGUGGAGGAUCAUUUAUGUGUCUGUGGGUUUAGCAGCACUCAUUAUAAGUGCCGUCACAGUCAGCAUGUGGACAAGAACUGGAG